CCUGAGUUCCACAGGUGAACAGCAGAGAGAGGUCCUCUCUCAGGCUCCCUGAUGAUAGCUGAAGCCCACUGGAAAAGUGAAGAGAAUCUGUGAUAUAGGCACAUCAGACAGCCAUACUUGGGUUGGAAAUUUCCUGUUUGCCUAGGACAAGUUUCUUCUGCUUCAAAGUGAUAUUCAACUAACUUGGCAAUAUGUAGUACUUGGCAAGGGAAUAGACCACUGCAGCACAUUAAUUAUUUCAGAAAAUGAUAAUGGCAUCUUUGUUCAACUGCAAACUACAAUUAAUCAAAAGCAACCACCAGCAACCCUAUUAGAAUUCUCAAUAGCAAUGGACUAA
rnacentral:lncRNA from 1 species